CGCCUCCGCCCGCCCCAACUCGGCCCAACUUGAAUGGAGUUGGGGUCCUGAGAGCCUGUCCCCCACAGCCGGCCCGCGGAGAGCCCCGCGCCGCCACCUCUGGUCCGGGACUCGCUCUCCGCUCCCGCGAUGGGGAAAGUUGGCGCCGGCGGCGGUCCCCCAGCCCCGCUGAGCGCGCCCCCCUCUCCCCCUUCUCCUCCCCCCUCGCGCCUGCAGCGGCGGCUCCUGCUGGGUCCGGCGGUCCCGGGGCCUGACCCCGACCCCGAUCCCGAGGACCCCUCACCAGGAGCCCCGAGGACGGGCCCCUGCUACCCCCUUCCCUUUACGGAGCGCCGCCAGCACUGAGCGCUGCCAGGGGUGAGCAGCUGGGGAGCAGCAGAAGCCCGCGACGACUUCGGGCAGCGGAAGCCUGGAACUCCGGAGCAAGAGUAAGAAAAAGCCACAGGCUCCCGGGAUGGAGGAGCUCAGGGUGGCAAACGGCAUGUUAACAGUGACAGGGACCUCCGCUCCCCAAAACCGCCCCGUUGGUCUGACCACAACAGCAUUAUAAUGCUGAGCACCUGAUAUAUUCCAGGCACCUAUCAAGUGGUGUGUGUGAAGUGGUGUGAAAAGUUAUGAACAUUCACAUGAUGCGGUAGAAGAUGCAUGCCAUCCAGAUGGCAAAACUGUUGGAGAAGUAAAGAUCAUGGAAAUCAGAAUGCCGAGUACCCUGUUCAUACAACUGUUAAUGCCACGAUAGUUCACUGAAGAAAAAGAAAACCUGUCUAAUGCUCCCCAUUUUAUUUUACCUGAAUAUUUUUUUCUAUUUUUUUCCCUUUCCCCUAAUUUCUGUUUGUGGCAGAGCCGCAGCAACAACAGCAAUAAUAACUACAGUUUGGGGCCAAAUUGCCAGAAACCAAGGAUGACAAAGACCAUCCUCUACUCAGGUCUCUGCUGUGCCCUGGUUUUCUUUGGCAGGAAUGCCUCACGUAUUUUCUCAAAAGCCACACAGCUGGGAGUGCAGCGGUUUUCCUGGAACCCAAGGCACAAGGCUCCUGCUUCCCUUAUGGCAGGCUCAAGUUCUCAUUCAGGGAAUCAAGCAUUUCUUCAUCCAAGCGGAGGCGCCUGACCUGCCCCUCCCUGUUUCAGCAGCUCACACACACCACUCAGACCCCGUCAAGGCAAGGGAAGGCUGCACGAAAUGUCUCCCUGAGCCCCGGGAGGGAGCUCA